rnacentral:rRNA from 1 species
GACGAACGCUGGCGGCGUGCUUAACACAUGCAAGUCGAGCGGUAAGGCCCUUUCGGGGGUACGACGAGCGGCGAACGGGUGAGUAACACGUGGGUGACCUGCCCUCAGCUCUGGGAUAAGCCUGGGAAACUGGGUCUAAUACUGGAUAUGACUCCACGGUGCAUGUCGUGGGGUGGAAAGCCUUGUGCGGCUGAGGAUGGGCCCGCGGCCUAUCAGCUUGUUGCUGGGGUGAUGGCCUACCAAGGCGACGACGGGUAGCCGGCCUGAGAGGGCGACCGGCCACACUGGGACUGAGACACGGCCCAGACUCCUACGGGAGGGCAGCAGUGGGGAAUCUUGCGCAAUGGGCGAAAGCCUGACGCAGCGACGCCGCGUGAGGGAUGACGGCCU